UACAGAGGUCUCAAGCGUUGUUCGGAUUCAUUGGGCGUAAAGGGUGCGUAGGCGGCGCGGUAAGUCGGGGUGUGAAAUCUCGGAGCUUAACUCCGAAACUGCAUUCGAUACUGCCGUGCUUGAGGACUGGAGAGGAGACUGGAAUUUACGGUGUAGCGGUGAAAUGCGUAGAUAUCGUAAGGAAGGCCGGUGGCGAAAAGCGAGCCUCUGGACAGUUACUGACGCUGAUGCACGAAGGCCAGGGGAGCAAACGGGG
rnacentral:rRNA from 1 species